rnacentral:rRNA from 1 species
AUUGAACGCUGGCGGAAUGCUUUACACAUGCAAGUCGAACGGUAGAGGGGGCAACCCCUUGAGAGUGGCGAACGGGUGAGUAAUAUAUCGGAACGUGCCCAGUCGUGGGGAUAACGUAGCGAAAGUUACGCUAAUACCGCAUACGAUCUACGGAUGAAAGCGGGGGACUCGCAAGAGCCUCGCGCGAUUGGAGCGGCCGAUAUCAGAUUAGGUAGUUGGUGGGGUAAAGGCUCACCAAGCCAACGAUCUGUAGCUGGUCUGAGAGGACGACCAGCCACACUGGAACUGAGACACGGUCCAGACUCCUACGGGAGGCAGCAGUGGGGAAUUUUGGACAAUGGACGCAAGUCUGAUCCAGCCAUUCCGCGUGCAGGAUGAAGGCCCUCGGGUUGUAAACUGCUUUUGUACGGAACGAAAAGGUUUCUAUUAAUACUAGGAGCUCAUGACGGUACCGUAAGAAUAAGCA